AGAGAGAGACAUGCGCGCAUAUCAAUAAGCGGAGGAAAAGAAACUAACAAGGAUUCCCCUAGUAACGGCGAGUGAAGCGGGAAGAGCUCAAAUUUGAAAUCUUAAAGGGUUUCCCUUUACGAAUUGUAGUUUAAAGAAGUGUUUUCUGUUGAGGUUUUGGUAAAAGUUCUUUGGAAUAGGACAUCAUAGAGGGUGAGAAUCCCGUAUUUGACCUUUACUUUCAACUUUGUGAUACACUUUCAAAGAGUCGGAUUGUUUGGGAAUGCAGUCCAAAAUGGGUGGUAAAUUUCAUCUAAAGCUAAAUAUUGGCGAGAAACCGAUAGCGAACAAGUACCGUGAGGGAAAGAUGAAAAGAACUUUGAAAAGAGAGUUAAACAGUACGUGAAAUUGUCAAAAGGGAAGCGUUUGACACCAGUGUUGUUUUUCUGAAAAUCAAUUAAAGAACUGUUUAUGCUAAGCUGUUUAGACUUUAUCAGCUAACUGUUUAGUUUUGAGCUUUUCUUUAAUGCACUUUUCAGUUAACAAGUCAACAUCAAUUUCUUUUGCUGUAAAAAAGCUUGAGGAAGGAUGGCUUGAGAUUCGUCUUAAGUGUUUAUAGCCUCUUGCCUAUGCAGUCGGAGAGAUUGAGGUCUGCAGCGUAGAUCCUUCGGGGCUAAAUGCAUUUGUGCUAAGUUAUAGCAUUUUAUAGACAACUUGUUGACUAUGAUUUGUCUUGUAGCUUACUCGCUUAUGUUAUUUUACCUACGCUUAGGAUGUUGAGCGCAUGUCUCUCUCU
rnacentral:rRNA from 1 species